rnacentral:rRNA from 1 species
CCUACGAGUGGCAGCAGUGAGGAAUAUUGGUCAAUGGGCGCGAGCCUGAACCAGCCAAGUAGCGUGAAGGAUGACUGCCCUACGGGUUGUAAACUUCUUUUAUAAAGGAAUAAAGUGAGGCACGUGUGCCUUUUUGUAUGUACUUUAUGAAUAAGGAUCGGCUAACCCCGUGCCAGCAGCCGCGGUGGUACGGAGGAUCCGAGCGUUAUCCGGAUUUAUUGUGUUUAAAGGGAGCGUAGAUGGGUUGUUAAGUCAGUUGUGAAAGUUUGCGGCUCAACCGUACAAUUGAAAUUGAUACUGGCAGCCUUGAGUACAGUAGAGGUAGGCGGAAUUCGUGGUGUAGCGGUGAAAUGCUUAGAUAUCACGAAGAACUCCGAUUGCGAAGGCAGCUUACUAAACUGCCACUGACGUUGAUGCUCGAAAGUGUGGGUAUCAAACAGGAUUAGAUACCCCAGUAGUC